rnacentral:miRNA from 1 species
CUACAAAGGCAAGCACUUUCUCU